GACGAGCCACCCAAACGUUAUUCGGAAUUACUGGGCGUAAAGCGUGCGCAGGCGGUUAUGCAAGACAGAUGUGAAAUCCCCGGGCUCAACCUGGGAACUGCAUUUGUGACUGCAUGGCUAGAGUUCGGCAGGGGAGACUGGAAUUCCUGGUGUAGCGGUGAAAUGCGCAGAUAUCAGGAGGAACACCGGUGGCGAAGGCGGUCUCCUGGGCCGAGGGCCGACGCUGAGGCGCGAGAGCGUGGGGAGCGAACCGG
rnacentral:rRNA from 1 species